CCGAGUUUACAACUCCCAAAACCCCCUGUGAACACUACCUCGACGUUGCUUCGGCGGGAUCGCCCCGGGCGCCCUUCAGGGCGACCCGGACCCAGGCGCCCGCCGGGGGACAACCAAACUCUUCUGUAUGUUAGCGGCAUCUUCUGAGUGGAUUAUUACCAAUAAUCA
rnacentral:misc_RNA from 1 species